rnacentral:rRNA from 1 species
AAUGAACGCUGGCGGCGUGCUUAAUACAUGCAAGUCGAACGAGAAAGUACCCUUCGGGGUGCGAGUAAAGUGGCGCACGGGUGAGUAACACGUAAGUAAUCUGCCCUUUAGUUUGGAAUAACUUCGGGAAACCGGAGCUAAUACCAGAUAAGCUCCCGACACUGUGAAGUGUUGAGAGAAAAGGUAGCCUCUUCACGAAAGCUUCUGCUAGAGGAUGAGCUUGCGUACCAUUAGCUAGUUGGUGGGGUAAAGGCCUACCAAGGCGAUGAUGGUUAGCUGGUCUGAGAGGACGACCAGCCACACUGGAACUGAGAUACGGUCCAGACUCCUACGGGAGGCUG